GACGAACGCUGGCGGCGUGCUUAACACAUGCAAGUCGAACGGAAAGGCCCUGCUUGCCGGGUGCUCGAGUGGCGAACGGGUGAGUAACACGUGGGUGAUCUGCCCCUUACUUUGGGAUAAGCCUGGGAAACUGGGUCUAAUACUGGAUAGGACCAUGCUGUAGGUGGUGUGGUGGAAAGAUUAGUUUCGGUAAGGGAUGAGCUCGCGGCCUAUCAGCUUGUUGGUGGGGUAAUGGCCUACCAAGGCGUCGACGGGUAGCCAGCCUGAGAGGGUGGACGGCCACAUUGGGACUGAGAUACGGCCCAGACUCCUACGGGAGGCAGCAGUGGGGAAUAUUGCACAAUGGGCGCAAGCCUGAUGCAGCGACGCCGCGUGGGGGAUGACGGCCUUCGGGUUGUAAACUCCUUUCAGCCAUGACGAAGCCCUUGUGGUGACGGUAGUGGUAGAAGAAGCACCGGCUAACUACGUG
rnacentral:rRNA from 1 species